GGCUAUAGCUCAGUGGUAGAGCGCAUGUCUAGCAUACCAGAUGCCCUGGAUUCAAUCCCCAGUUCA
rnacentral:tRNA from 1 species